rnacentral:piRNA from 1 species
UAGAAAGUCAUGGGUAGAAACUUCUA